UGAGUCUGAGGCCUGAGAACCAGGGUAUUUGCUGGUGUAAAUCACAGUCUUAGAACCAUAAAAGGUAAGAGGUCUCAGUUAAAUCAGUGAGGCAGAGGAAAAGAGGCAAAUUCUUCCUUCCUCUUCCCUUUGUCCUAUCCAGGAUCUGAAGGGCUUAGAUGAUGCUCACACUGGGAAGGCAACUUACUGAUCCCACCAAAUCAAAUGCCAAAUUCUUCCAGAAACACCCACACAGACAUACCUCAAAAUUAUGUUUAAUCUGGGCACUCCAUGGCCAGUCAAACUGACACAUAAAAUUGACUACCACAUUCCCUAACUGUGUCUUCAUUUCAUUAAUUGUUCCCAACUGAACUGUUUUCACUAAUUUAUUUUUGUCCCUUAAGGAGAAGUAUUUACAAACACAACCAUUUUCAACUAUCAAAAAUCUCUUUAAAAUAGACGGCUUAUGUGAUGCACCUAGGAAUGGAGAGGACAAAGCGGCAGACUGGAAGCUGUGAACUGGAUCGACAUCAAGGACUCCUCACUAAGACCAACUAGUCAGAAGCAAAGAAGAGACAACAGGUGAACUCCACAUUGAAGAGUGACUGCCAAAGUAGAUUAAAAGAAGCAAGAAGAGGGGUGUUCUGUGGAGGAAAGCUUUGAGACACAUUAGGCUUCCUAAUUGCUCCUGGAGGUCAGAAGUAAUGGCUUUUUGAAGUCCUCUAAGACUUCAAGAUCAUCUGUUACCAUGUAGUGGAAGGAAAAAGAAAGAGUGAACACAGUAUAUACACUUGAUGAUUCUGCAACAAGGGCAUUCUAUGACCUAGAAGGGAUGCACACCAUUUCUUCUGACAUUACUUUGGUGAUAGCAAGUCUCAUUGCCACCCAGAUGCAUGAGGGGCGGGGAAAUGAAGUCCCUGCCUGGCAGGUCCUCCAAUUCCAUAGUAUGGAAGAGAGAAUAAGAGUACUUGCUGGACAGAGAGCUUCUGUCAAACUAUCAAAAUAUAAAAAUUGGAAGCUGUACCUAGAAGGGCUGCACAGUUCCAGAAAGCAAGACAGAACAUUUUUCUUUCAUUUUCUUCUUUUCAAUAUGCAA